ACACACUCUUCAUCAUCACACAAGACUAAACUACAACUAUGAACAACAUCAACUUCUUAAUCUGUACUCUCUCUGUGUGCAUUCAAGGUUUCAGUGGACAGGUGACUGUGACUCAGACUCCUUUUGUACAAAUGGUUACAAUUGGUGAAUCAGUCACAAUAAACUGCAAAACAAACACAGUAGUGAGCAAUGGCUGUUAUGGUUCAAAUACGUGUAUGGCCUGGUACUUACAGAAACCUGGAGAAGCUCCUAAACUCCUGAUUCAUUCUGUAAACCAAAGAGUUUCAAACACUCACUCUAGAUUCAGUGGCGGUGGAUCUAACUAUGGCAGUGAUUUUACUCUGACCAUCAGUGGAGUCCAGACUGAAGAUACAGGAGAUUAUUACUGUCAGAGUGAACACUGAUCAACAGUAAAGAUGUG